GCCUUCGUGGUGUAGUGGUCAGCAUACUCGACGUGUAACCGAGAGGUCCGUGGUUCGAUUCCUGGCGAGGGCG
rfam:Stegodyphus mimosarum contig104617, whole genome shotgun sequence.